AUUGAACGCUGGCGGCAGGCCUAACACAUGCAAGUCGAACGGUAACAGGAAACAGCUUGCUGUUUCGCUGACGAGUGGCGGACGGGUGAGUAAUGUCUGGGAAACUGCCUGAUGGAGGGGGAUAACUACUGGAAACGGUAGCUAAUACCGCAUAACGUCGCAAGACCAAAGAGGGGGACCCUCGGGCCUCUUGCCAUCGGAUGUGCCCAGAUGGGAUUAGCUUGUUGGUGGGGUAACGGCUCACCAAGGCGACGAUCCCUAGCUGGUCUGAGAGGAUGACCAGCCACACUGGAACUGAGACACGGUCCAGACUCCUACGGGAGGCAGCAGUGGGGAAUAUUGCACAAUGGGCGCAAGCCUGAUGCAGCCAUGCCGCGUGUAUGAAGAAGGCCUUCGGGUUGUAAAGUACUUUCAGCGGGGAGGAAGGGAGUAAAGUUAAUACCUUUGCUCAUUGACGUUACCCGCAGGAGAAGCACCGGCUAACUCCGUG
rnacentral:rRNA from 1 species